rnacentral:tRNA from 1 species
AAUGAAGUGCCUGAUAAAAGGGUUAUUUUGAUAGAAUAAAUCAUGUAAAUUUUUACCUUCAUUA